rnacentral:tRNA from 1 species
GGCGAAGUAGUUUAAGUUAAAACAGCAGAUUGUGGUUCUGUAGAUAGUGAUACCUUUUCGUUA